AUUGGAAUAAUAAGGAUACUCGAG
rnacentral:siRNA from 1 species